rnacentral:misc_RNA from 1 species
GAUGAAGAACGUAGCGAAAUGCGAUAAGUAAUGCGAAUUGCAGAAUUUCCGUGAGUCAUCGAAUCUUUGAACGCACAUUGCGCCCACUGGUAUUCCGGUGGGCAUGCCUGUUCGAGCGUCAUUAUCCUCCCUCAAGCACGGCUUGUGUGUUGGGCCUCCGUCCUCCUCCCGGGGGACGGGCCCGAAAGGCAGCGGCGGCACCGCGUCCGGUCCUCGAGCGUAUGGGGCUUCGUCACCCGCUCUUGUAGGCCCGGCCGGCGCUUGCCGACACAUCAAUCUUUUUUCCAGGUUGACCUCGGAUCAGGUAGGGAUACCCGCUGAACUUAAGCAUAUCAAUAAGCGGAGGA